UUGGCAUUUACUUGCCAGAACCAGUAUUCACCCACGUCAAUUUUGUUACAAGACAACAUUGUGGAUGGAUGAACAGAUAGAUGAAUUCUUCCAGCAACAAACAAGAGGAACCUAUUCAGAUCAAAGAUCACCACCUAAAGAAGCCAUCCUUACAGUUACACUGAUAAUAGCUUUGAUCCAUAACAACUGCCAAGGAAAUCAGCCUGUCAUUUUAUAAGAGCACAAGGCCAAAAUGAACAAGAUUACACAUAUCACUGAAGAUUUAGAGGACUAGUUCUUAAAAAGAUUAAGAAAAAAAGAAAAGAUGCUAAAGAAGAAAUGCAAAAGAUUGACAGAAUGGCUCUAUAUUGAAGAACACAGCCAAACUUAUUGAAAAAAGGAACUGGAAAUGUCAUUAGCAAUGCAACAAAAAUCAAAGAGUGAGGCUACUAAGUAUCCAAUGCCAGUUAUCCAAUUCCUACCCUUUAUAUUCAAAGAAAUUGUAACAAACACACUGAAAGCAUAAGCCUUUCAAUGUCAUACAGCCAACCUACUAACAGCUGACUGAAGUUUACAGAGACAGUAGUCAUGGGCUACUGUGAAUGAACCAAGCAUGUUAUUUUCAUCAUUUUACAUAUUCAUUAAAUAUUGAUUUGAUUCAGCAUACCACUGCAACACAAGCAUUUAACAGAUCCUUAACUAAUAAGCUAUGACUGGGACUGUAAUGAAGCACAAACACUAGAUUAGAAUAAUCAUUUGCUCCACUGAUAUUUCAUUCAAGCUAAUCAAUUGUUCCAGCAUUUCAGAGAAAUGAUUGAAAGACAUAAACUUGAUUAAUCAACUACAUAAACGCUAAAAAAACAACUUACCUAGCAGUCUUAUUUUGUUGAUAGUAGAAGGGGAUUUUAUGUUUUUUGUAAUGAGGGGCAUUUCUUGCAUAACUUGACCAAGAACCAAUCAUGUUGGCCAAAACCGUUUUGAUAAUAAUACAUUUAAGGAUCUGGGAAUUGUUCUUGUAGUUAAUGUUGCUGAAAUGACUAAGGCUUUUAAAGAAUUGUCAAAAUAUCCUUACUCAGUCGAUAUGACAACUUUAUAGGAAGGAAAUUCCUGCCUUGCGCCCUGUGUUGGCGGGGAUUGGCUCCAGCAGACCCCGUGACCCUGUAGUUAGGAUAUAACGGGUUUGAUAAUGGAUGGAUGGAUGUAGACAGUUAAUUGAUUUUACACUAAUAUCAGACACCAGAAUGACGGCAAAAGCCAGGUUCCAGGGGAUAACAAGCAAAAACACUAAAAGAGAUUAUACUUCUACAUUGAUUACAUCAGAUUGAAAUGCCAGA